GAGUUUGAUCAUGGCUCAGAACGAACGUUAGCGGCGCGCCUAAGACAUGCAAGUCGAGCGAGAAAGGGAUUCGUCCCGGUAAAGCGGCGCACGGGUGAGUAACACGUAGGUCAUCGACCCUCGAGCGGUGGAUAACCCUCCGAAAGGAGGGCUAAUACAGCAUGAUGCUAGCAAUAGCCAAAGCGGGCCUCUUCUUGAAAGCUCGCGCUAGAGGACGAGCCUGCGGCCCAUCAGGUAGUUGGCGGAGUAAUAGCCCACCAAGCCAUAGACGGGUAGCUGGUCUGAGAGGAUGAACAGCCACACUGGAACUGAGACACGGUCCAGACUCCUACGGAGGCAGCAGUGGGGAAUAUUGGACAAUGGGCGCAAGCCUGAUCCAGCCAUGCCGCGUGUGUGAAGAAGGCCUUC
rnacentral:rRNA from 1 species